GGUUAAGUGACUAAGCGUAUACGGUGGAUGCCUUGGCAGUUAGAGGCGAUGAAGGACGUGUAAGUCUGCGAAAAGCUGUGGUGAGCUGACAAAACGCAUUUGAGCCACAGAUGUCCGAAUGGGGAAACCCACCUGUUUACAGGUAUCUUAUAGUGAAUACAUAGCUAUAAGAGGCGAACGAGGGGAACUGAAACAUCUAAGUACCCUUAGGAAAAGAAAUCAACCGAGAUUCCCCUAGUAGCGGCGAGCGAACGGGGAGCAGCCCUUAAGCUGCAUAAGAAGUAGUGGAAGCCUCUGGGAAGUGGCGCGAUACAGGGUGAUAGCCCCGUACAUGAAGAGUCUUAUGCAGUGAAAUCGAGUAGGUCGGGACACGUGUUAUCUUGACUGAAUAUGGGGGGACCAUCCUCCAAGGCUAAAUACUCCUAACUGACCGAUAGUGAACCAGUACCGUGAGGGAAAGGCGAAAAGAACCCCUGUGAGGGGAGUGAAAUAGAACCUGAAACCGUAUACGUACAAGCAGUGGGAGC
rnacentral:rRNA from 1 species